AAGCCGAUUGAUAAAAUCAAAAUACUGACUUCUAAUCAGUAGGUUGAGGGUUCGAGUCCUUCUGGGAUCGCCA
rnacentral:tRNA from 1 species